rnacentral:rRNA from 1 species
UACGGAGGGUGCAAACGUUGCUCGGAAUCAUUGGGCGUAAAGCGCACGUAGGCGGCCUGUUAAGUCGGAUGUGAAAGGCCUGGGCUCAACCCGGGAAUUGCGCUUGAGACUGGGCUGGCUUGAGUGCGGGAGAGGAUGGUGGAAUUCCCAGUGUAGAGGUGAAAUUCGUAGAUAUUGGGAAGAACACCGGUGGCGAAGGCGGCCAUCUGGACCGCAACUGACGCUGAGGCGCGAAAGCGUGGGGAGCAAACAGG